rnacentral:rRNA from 1 species
CCUACGGGAGGCAGCAGUGAGGAAUAUUGGUCAAUGGCCGUAAGGCUGAACCAGCCAAGUCGCGUGAAGGAAGACGGAUCUAUGGUUUAUCAACUUCUUUUAUAGGGGAAUAAAGGUAUCCACGUGUGGAUAUUUGCAUAUACCCUAUGAAUAAGCAUCGGCUAACUCCGUGCCCGCAGCCGCGGUAAUACGGAGGAUGCGAGCAUUAUCCGGAUUUCUUGGGUUUAAAGGGUGCGUAGGUUGUUUUUUAAGUCAGCGGUGAAAGUUUGUGGCUCAACCAUAACAUUGCCGUUGAAACUGGAAGACUUGAGUGUGUUUGAGGUAGGCGGAAUGCGUGGUGUAGCGGUGAAAUGCAUAGAUAUCACGCAGAACUCCGAUUGCGAAGGCAGCUUACUAAGCCAUAACUGACACUGAAGCACGAAAGCGUGGGGAUCAAACAGGAUUAGAUACCCUAGUAGUC